ensembl:snRNA U6 U6 spliceosomal RNA
GCACUCAUUUUGGCAGCACAUAUACUAAAAUUGGAACAAUAUAUCGAAGAUUAGCAUGGCCGUUGCACAAGGAUGACAUGCAAAUUUGUAAAGGAUUCCAUAUUUUU